AAGUCGAACGGGAUAUCACUUGUAGCAAUACCGGUGAUGUCUAGUGGCGCAAGGGUGCGUAACACGUGGGUAAUCUACCGGGAAGUGGGGGAUAGCUCGCCGAAAGGCGAAUUAAUACCGCAUAUGGUUAGCGAAGGGAUCUUCGCGAUACCAAAGCCGGGGCAACCUGGCGCUUCCUGAUGAGCCCGCGGCCUAUCAGCUAGUUGGUGAGGUAACGGCUCACCAAGGCGAUGACGGGUAGCUGGUCUGAGAGGACGACCAGCCACACUGGAACUGAGACACGGUCCAGACACCUACGGGUGGCAGCAGUCGAGAAUUUUUCUCAAUGGGCGCAAGCCUGAAGGAGCGACGCCGCGUGGAGGAUGAAGGUCUUCGGAUUGUAAACUCCUGUCAUUAGGGAACAAAGUCCCCGGUUAACUGCCGGCGGGCCUGAUAGUACCUGAAGAGGAAGAGACGGCUAACUCUGUGCCAGCAGCCGCGGUAAUACAGAGGUCUCAAGCGUUGUUCGGAUUCAUUGGGCGUAAAGGGUGCGUAGGUGGCGCCGUAAGUCAGGUGUGAAAUCUCGGGGCUCAACCCCGAAACUGCACUUGAUACUGCGGUGCUCGAGUACUGGAGAGGAGAUUGGAAUUUACGGUGUAGCAGUGAAAUGCGUAAAUAUCGUAAGGAAGACCAGUGGCGAAGGCGAAUCUCUGGACAGUUACUGACACUGAGGCACGAAGGCCAGGGGAGCAAACGGGAUUAUAUACCCCGGUAGUCCUGGCAAUAAACGGUGCACGUUUGGUGU
rnacentral:rRNA from 1 species